rnacentral:lncRNA from 1 species
CCCCGCUAAUUUUUUUUUUUGUAUUUUUAGUAGAGACGGGGUUUCACCGUGUUAGCCAGGAAGGUCUCGAUCUCCUGACCUCGUGAUCCGCCCGCCUCGGCCUCCCAAAGUGCUGGGAUUACAGGCGUGAGCCACCGCGCCCGGCCGGUGAUAGUUGUUUUUUAGAAUUUUUUCCCCUUAUCACAAGACUGAAAUGAAAAUUGAUGCAAUCACAUGAUGGAAUAUUUGUUCAAUCUGACAGAUUAAUGGUCUAGGAAGAAAAAAUUAAUUUUGAUUUCACCAAAGAAAAACAGUUUGUUGAAAAUCAAUCAGUUCUCAUACAUAGCUAAGAAAAUAUUCACUGCUUUUCAAGCCAUCAAAUGCUUUUAAUAAAUAUCUAAAACAAGGUGGUUAAAAUGUCAACUAGCACUUUUAUUAAGUAUUUUUCUGGAUUUAAAAAGAGAAAUGUCAUAGCAUAUCCUAUCUUCUAGAUUUGUAUUCUCUUGGUCAAGAGCAAGCAUGAGCAAGCCUCUGAAGAGCUGCAUCUCUAACUGCAAGCAUCCCCACGUACUUAUAUAUAUAUGAGCAGGCACUGGCCCUCUCUUUUCUGACAUUCCCUGAAGUGUUCAAUAUUAACAAGCUGUUCAUUGAACUAGGAACAAAUUGGUUGGAAUCAUAUUUGCUAUGUUUUAUUAAAGCAUAGGCAAAAUUACAAUUUCAAAACUACAAGGGAUCUGAUUCCAAAUGUUAUUUUUGUAUAUGAUGAAUUUUAAAAAGUGUUAAAGGGUGAUCCAAAGUUGCCUAUCUAUUCAUUAGCAUGUCUUGCUUUAUGAAAUCCAGAGGUUUUUUCUAUUAUGAUAUAUGUUGCAUACUGAAUCUUAGGGUGCACAUACCUGGCCUAGACAUAAAGAUCUGCUGUUACGUUAUUUUCAAGUUGAGGUAGAGUUAAUGUAAAGUAAUAUGCAACAAUGUUCUUUUCAAUGAGAUUUACAAUUAUACCCACCAUCUUUGUACCUGCAGCAAAUAGAAAUGCUAUUGUCAAGGUAGUCUGUAUGAAAUGCUGAAUUUGGCAAAUUCCUCAAAAUACUUAUAAAAUGUGUUAUAAUAAAUAAUAUUUAUAUUUUUUUCUGGUAGUAAUAACUAAUUAAUGCUAAAUAUAUUUUUGAACUUCUACUAUGUGCCAGAAAAACAUUGGAAAAACAAAUCUGAAUGAACAGGCUAUUUUCUCAAACCUAUAAGUAAAGGUUGGAGAUAAAUCCACAUUUACAUUUUUUUUUUUAACUUGCUACGAAAACACUUAAAAGAACAACCUGAGGCAUUUUGGCUAACCAGAGAAGCUGAUGCUUCUAUCCAGUAUUGAAGAGUAGAUCACAUUUUGUUUGAUAAAGAUCUUAAAAGUCUCAUGUUUCUACAGGCUUCUAUGAAUUUUCUUCUCUUAAUUGGUUUAAGUGAUUAAUCAGUGAUUACUAGAUGGAUCAUUGAUUGGUGUGACCAAGAUUUAGGCAGAGGGUGUUAAAAGAGUGACUAGUAUGGAGGGUAAAAAUUUUAACAAGUCUAAAUCAUGAAGCACCUUGAAUACCAUUCUGAUUUGUUUGAUUUUCUAUUAGCUAUGUCAGGUCACCAAAAGAUAUUUUUAUGAAAAUAACAUGGUCCUUUUGAUUAUUUCAGAAGACCAUUUUGAAAAUAACAUAGAAACCCCAUUGAUAGGAGAUUAGAUUGAAUUUAGAAAGAAAGACCAUUGUGAAGUGUCUGAGAAAAAGAACUGUUGCUUAGAAUGUAGUCAUUAGCAACAAUUUACAAACAUUACUAAAAUAAUUGAUAUACAUAAGAAUAAGAAAUAUAACUGCAGAAAAUAUGGGAUCUCAGGCAAAAGAAGUAAAAUAGCUAUCCUAUGCUCAAAGAAAGAGAAUAUUUAUCUCUUCUCACAAAUGUUAAUUCACACUGAUUCACUCUCCUGGAAAUGAAGAAGAAUGGAUAGAAAAAGUACCGAUAAAUUGGCUGUAUUUUGUUUUACACACACACCAUAUUAUACACCUCUGUAGUUGCUUUCCUGUCAUCUCUCCUAAGGGGGUGAAUUCUUUAGUAAGAAUGUCUUCUUACUAAAAUUGGCCAUAAGUGUUUGUAAAAAAUAUAUUUUUGAUCCAGAAUAAAUUGAUUUCAGCAUCCAGUGGUAUCCUACACAUUAUAUAUACUUAAUAAAAUAUUUCAGUAACAGGUAUCACAUGACAAACAAAUAAAUGGUUACUACAAAGAUGUAUUCUGUGAGCUUUGUAUUUAUUCAUCCAGGUUUUCACUGUCUUCUAGUUUCAGUUAUCUCUUCAUAUUGCACUUGAUCUUAAAUCAGGAAGAGUGUUUUAUAUUUAAUAUUCUGAAAUAUCUGGUAAUAAUUAUAAGGCUCAUCUAAUUCACCUCACUUUUAGAGACAAAAAUGCUGGAAACAAUCUGUUUAAAUCUUUGAAAAAUAUCUCCAAUAAAUUAAUUUAAUUUUAAGAAUAAUUUUAAAUCUCACAAUCAUGAGAUUAGCGUUAUAAUGAUUUUGUCUUAUUUAUGACAUUAAUGUAUUUUAUUUGCAACAAUACUACAUGUGUAAAAGUUGAGCUGCCCAAUGCAGAUUAAUAAAUCAAAACUAAAAUAUAAUUGACUUUGCAUCCCCUAGUACAAACAGCACAGAACAGUUUCUGAUAGGUCUCCUCUGAUUGUGAAGACAGCACAUUCUACAGGAGAAAUACUCCUUUAGCUCCUACAUCAGCUGUCACAGAAGGCUAACAGCUUUGAAUGAAGCUCAGAGGAGGAAACUGCCCUAGGGCAGACUUGCUACUUGAGUCAUAUACACUGGCUGGCCCUAUUAUUUAGAACAUAUCAGCGGUGGAAAAAGUGGGAGGUUUCUGUCAAGCUUCACUGGACAAAUCACAAUACAGUCCCCUGAGAUUCUAGACGAAGACCACGCUGUCUACAGUAGAGAAUUAUGUGUGUUUAAUAAGCAGCAUUAGCUGUGCUACACGGAGCUGGUAUGGUUUAUUAUCAACAGGCAGAAGAGCCUGCCAGUGGAAUGAACUACAGGAGAAGUACUGAAGGUAAUUUCAAAGUAAUAGGCAGGGACAAUGAGUAACCUAGUUCACAAACACUAUUUUACUGUCUUCCCUUCUAUAGCAUUCCUAAUAUUGUUAAUAGUACUCACAGAAAGAAAACACUGAGACAGAGCUACACUGAAGCCAGGCAGAAAGGGUAAAGCUGCAUACAGUGGUAAAAGUGGUUGACAUCUCCAAAAGAUUUUUCAGUAAGAAGAAUAGAGGAUUAAACUCAUUCCAAAUUAUAUAUUUAAUCACAGAUUAAGUAUAAUAACAAAAUAAAAGAAAAUACAUAAAGAAAUAUAAUAUAUGUAAUUUCAAAAAAACUUAGUUCAUCAUAGUAACUUGCUGAUUUUCACAUUUAAUCUGAUUAUCAAUGCUUUGGAAAAAUUUAAUGUAUCAUGGGGAAUGACAAAGAGGUGCUUUUGAUUAUUUUAUUUAUUGCUCCAUAGAAAUUUAAUCUAUAUCAAAUAAAUUACCCAUUAUUAUGUAUUGAGAUGAUUAUUGGUCUUUAAUAUUAAUAAUACAUUUAUCAUAUACCUAGCACAUAUUUUCUGUAGCAGUGCAAUGAACUGAAAUUAAGUAGCUCUAAUAAGCCUUCAACAAUAUAGCAACAUUCCUAGAAUCCUACUAACUUCAACUCAUGAAUGGGUAGUAAAUUUUAUCAAAUUUCUUAUUGAAAGAUUACAUGGCAAUGUGAUUCAUUAUACUGUCUUAUUUUCCAGUGUACUACAACUUUUAAACAUGGGAGAAAAAAUGAAACCACUCAGGGAUUGUAAAAGAUUUUGAUGUUUAAAUAUUUUUAAUUUUUUUUGGUAAUGUCUGGGUAAGGGUGAUACUGGCUUUAUAAAAGACUUGGAAGAUUUCCUUUUUUUCAUUUCUCUUGAAAUAUUUGCAUAAAGUUGGUGUUACUUUCUCUUUAAAUGCUGGAAAUAAUUUGCCAGUGAAGCCAUCUGUACCCAGGGGUAUUUGUCAGAAAGUUCUAAAACAUACUUAAUAUCAUUAGUAGAAAAGGAAAUAUUUACAUUUGAAAAUUUAUUCUUGUAGGUUUUUUUGGCAAAUUAUGUCUUUUGAGGAAUUUGCCAGUUUUAUAUAUCACAUAUAUCAGAAUGAAGUUGUGCCUUCUAAUUAUGGUUCAAUGCAUUGAAAUAUAGGAAAUGCAAUAAUUUUCCAUUUUCAUAUUUUUUAAUUGCCAAUUUAUAUUGUUAUGUUUUGUUUUCUGCCUCCUUGAUCAUGCUGCUAGAAAGGGGUCAACUUUAGGCUUUUUAUUCCCUAUUAUAGUUGGUUUUCUACCUGGUUGAUUGUUAAUCUUAAUUAUUUCCUUUCUUUUAAUUAUUUAUAUUAAAUUUGCUGUUUUAACUUCUUGUAAAUUGAGAUAGAAGCUAUGGGAAUUAUUUUAUUUUAAAUUUGCUUUUUUUUAAUUGUAUUUGCAAUGACAUAAUUGUACAUAUUUAUGGAGUACAGUGUGAUGUUUCAAUGCAUGUAUACAUUCUAUAAUGAUCAAAUAAAGGCAAUUAGCAG